AUUUCAUUUGAAUUGAAUGCUUUAAAUUUGUGUUUCAUCCAGACUUUUAUUUUGACGUUGUAUUUUCGAGCUGCACAGGAAGCAGGAAGGAAAAUAGUUUAGAUCACGUUAGAAUGCGCGCGUAGAAAACGUUAGAAACGGCAGGUUGAUUGGGAGUGCAGACUGUCACUACCCCAGAGAAAGGCUUCUUGCAUGUUGGUUCCCCAGCAGAGGCAUCGCUUUUUCACUCUCUUUCAUCUUUUGAUCUCUUGAUCUUAUCUACAUGGAUUCAAUACAAUGUGAAGAAUGAAAAUAAAUCUACAAACAAGAA